AGACCCGAAACCCGGUGAUCUAGCCAUGGGCAGGUUGAAGGUUGGGUAACACUAACUGGAGGACCGAACCGACUAAUGUUGAAAAAUUAGCGGAUGACCUGUGGCUGGGGGUGAAAGGCCAAUCAAACCGGGAGAUAGCUGGUUCUCCCCGAAAGCUAUUUAGGUAGCGCCUCGUGAAUUCAUCUCCGGGGGUAGAGCACUGUUUCGGCUAGGGGGCCAUCCCGGCUUACCAACCCGAUGCAAACUGCGAAUACCGGAGAAUGUUAUCACGGGAGACACACGGCGGGUGCUAACGUCCGUCGUGAAGAGGGAAACAACCCAGACCGCCAGCUAAGGUCCCAAAGUCAUGGUUAAGUGGGAAACGAUGUGGGAAGGCCCAGACAGCCAGGAUGUUGGCUUAGAAGCAGCCAUCAUUUAAAGAAAGCGUAAUAGCUCACUGGUCGAGUCGGCCUGCGCGGAAGAUGUAACGGGGCUAAACCAUGCACCGAAGCUGCGGCAGCGAACGUAUCACCCAAGACAACUUUACGGAGUUGACGAUUGACGGAGCGAAGCGACGUCAAAGCGUUCAUUAAAGUCGAGUUGGCUUAGGGAUACGUUCGUUGGGUAGGGGAGCGUUCUGUAAGCCUGUGAAGGUGUGUCGUGAGGCAUGCUGGAGGUAUCAGAAGUGCGAAUGCUGACAUAAGUAACGAUAAAGCGGGUGAAAAGCCCGCUCGCCGGAAGACCAAGGGUUCCUGUCCAACGUUAAUCGGGGCAGGGUGAGUCGACCCCUAAGGCGAGGCCGAAAGGCGUAGUCGAUGGGAAACGGGUUAAUAUUCCCGUACUUGGUGUUACUGCGAAGGGGGGACGGAGAAGGCUAUGUUGGCCGGGCGACGGUUGUCCCGGUUUAAGGGUGUAGGUGUGUGUUCCAGGUAAAUCCGGUUCACUUUAACACUGAGGCGUGACGACGAGGCACUACGGUGCUGAAGCAACAAAUGCCCUGCUUCCAGGA
rnacentral:rRNA from 1 species